UUAACCAUUAAACUGCUUGGGAAACUGAUAGUCUAGAGUGAGGGAGAGGCAGAUGGAAUUGGUGGUGUAGGGGUAAAAUCCGUAGAUAUCACCAAGAAUACCCAUUGCGAAGGCGAUCUGCUGGAACUCAACUGACGCUAAGGCGCGAAAGCGUGGGGAGCAAACAGGAUUAGAUACCCUGGUAGUCCACGCCCUAAACGAUGUACACUAGUUGUUGGGAUGCUAGUCAUCUCAGUAAUGCAGCUAACGCAUUAAGUGUACCGCCUGGGGAGUACGGUCGCAAGAUUAAAACUCAAAGGAAUAGACGGGGACCCGCACAAGCGGUGGAGCAUGUGGUUUAAUUCGAAGAUACGCGAAGAACCUUACCUGGGCUUGAUAUCCUAAGAACCUUAUAGAGAUAUGAGGGUGCUAGCUUGCUAGAACUUAGAGACAGGUGCUGCACGGCUGUCGUCAGCUCGUGUCGUGAGAUGUUGGGUUAAGUCCCGCAACGAGCGCAACCCACGUAUUUAGUUGCUAACGGUUCGGCCGAGCACUCUAAAUAGACUGCCUUCGUAAGGAGGAGGAAGGUGUGGACGACGUCAAGUCAUCAUGGCCCUUAUGCCCAGGGCGACACACGUGCUACAAUGGCAUAUACAAUGAGACGCAAUACCGCGAGGUGGAGCAAAUCUAUAAAAUAUGUCCCAGUUCGGAUUGUUCUCUGCAACUCGAGAGCAUGAAGCCGGAAUCGCUAGUAAUCGUAGAUCAGCCAUGCUACGGUGAAUACGUUCCCGGGUCUUGUACUCACCGCCCGUCACACCAUGGGAGUUGAUUUCACUCGAAGCCGGA
rnacentral:rRNA from 1 species